UAUGAAGAACGUAGCGAAAUGCGAUAAGUAGUGUGAAUUGCAGAAUUCAGUGAAUCAUCGAAUCUUUGAACGCACAUUGCGCCCUUUGGUAUUCCAAAGGGCAUGCCUGUUCGAGCGUCAUUUGUACCCUCAAGCUUUGCUUGGUGUUGGGCGUCUUGUCUCUAGCUUUGCUGGAGACUCGCCUUAAAGUAAUUGGCAGCCGGCCUACUGGUUUCGGAGCGCAGCACAAGUCGCACUCUCUAUCAGCAAAGGUCUAGCAUCCAUUAAGCCUUUUUUUCAACUUUUGACCUCGGAUCAGGUAGGGAUACCCGCUGAACUUAAGCAUAUCAAUAAGCGGAGGA
rnacentral:misc_RNA from 1 species